rnacentral:rRNA from 1 species
UACACUCCUACGGGAGGCAGCAGUGGGGAAUUUUGGACAAUGGGCGAAAGCCUGAUCCAGCAAUGCCGCGUGUGUGAAGAAGGCCUUCGGGUUGUAAAGCACUUUUGUCCGGAAAGAAAUCCUUGGCUCUAAUACAGUCGGGGGAUGACGGUACCGGAAGAAUAAGCACCGGCUAACUACGUGCCAGCAGCCGCGGUAAUACGUAGGGUGCGAGCGUUAAUCGGAAUUACUGGGCGUAAAGCGUGCGCAGGCGGUUUGCUAAGACCGAUGUGAAAUCCCCGGGCUCAACCUGGGAACUGCAUUGGUGACUGGCAGGCUAGAGUAUGGCAGAGGGGGGUAGAAUUCCACGUGUAGCAGUGAAAUGCGUAGAGAUGUGGAGGAAUACCGAUGGCGAAGGCAGCCCCCUGGGCCAAUACUGACGCUCAUGCACGAAAGCGUGGGGAGCAAACAGGAUUAGAAACCCGAGUAGUCCCAUG